rnacentral:rRNA from 1 species
AUUGAACGCUGGCGGCAGGCCUAACACAUGCAAGUCGAACGAGCGGCGGACGGGUGAGUAAUGUAUGGGGAUCUGCCCGAUCGAGGGGGAUAACUACUGGAAACGGUAGCUAAUACCGCAUACCAUCGGAUGUGCCCAGAUGGGAUUAGCUAGUAGGUGGGGUAAAGGCUCACCUAGGCGACGAUCCCUAGCUGGUCUGAGAGGAUGAUCAGCCACACUGGAACUGAGACACGGCCCAGACUCCUACGGGAGGCAGCAGUGGGGAAUAUUGCACAAUGGGCGCAAGCCUGAUGCAGCCAUGCCGCGUGUAUGAAGAAGGCCUUCGGGUGGUAAAGUACUUUCAGCGGGGAGGCGUUACCCGCAGAAGAAGCACCGGCUAACUCCGUGCCAGCAGCCGCGGUAAUUC